rnacentral:lncRNA from 1 species
UUUGUGCUGAGAAAUCUCAAAACCUUCUUGUUUAUGAAUACAUGCCGAAUGGAUCUCUAGAUAGGUGGCUUUUCCAGAGAUCAGAUGAGUUUAUGCUUGACUGGCAGCAAAGAAAGAAGAUCAUCCUUGAUAUUGCCAAGGGACUAACCUAUCUCCAUGAAGAUUGCAGGCAGAAGAUACUCCACUUGGAUAUCAAGCCCCAAAAUAUUCUGCUAGAUGACAACUUCAAUGCCAAAGUUGCUGAUUUUGGUUUGUCGAAAUUGAUUGACCGGGACCAGAGCCAAGUUGUGACAACCAUGAGAGGAACUCCAGGCUAUUUGGCUCCUGAAUGGCUUAGCUCAGUAAUUACAGAAAAAGUAGAUAUCUAUAGCUUUGGAGUUGUGAUGUUGGAGAUAUUGUGUGGCCGGAAAGUUUUUGACCGCUCUCAGCCUGAGGAGGAAGACAUGUAUUUGCUAAGCAUAUUCAAUAAGAAGGCAGAGGAGGACAAAUUGUCUGAUCUGGUAGAUAGACACAGUAACGAUAUGCAAUCAAAUGAAGAAGAAGUAGUGAAUAUGAUGAAGGUAGCUGCAUGGUGUCUGGAAAGUGAUUUUGUAAAGAGACCUUCCAUGUCAAUGGUAGUUAAGGUUUUGGAGGAUGUUACAGAGUUUGAGCAUAACCUCCAUUAUAACUUGGUUCAUCUACCAACUACAGCAGCAUUAACAAACGUUGAUCGUAGAGAAGAAAAUGAUAAACCCAUUACUCAAUUGUUGCCUUCAGUUUUGUCAGGGCCAAGAUGACAGACGGCUAGCAGGUAUACAUACCAUUUUUCCAUUCUUGAUUAGCAUUAAUAAUGUUUACCAACAACUUUUGUUUUUGGACUUGAAAAAGAAAUCCAAUUGGGCUUUACCAGCAACUUUCAGCAUCUUUCUUGAAAAAAAUAAAAAACAAUUGGCCCCAAAUUUUUGUAGGGUUAUUCGUGGAUACAAACCGGAAUAAAAGAAACUUUAAAUCUUUGAUAAGAAUGUAAGUUUCAUUAUCGAUUUAUUAUGCAAAUUUAAAUUCGUGGACCAAUAACUGCAGGAACCUUCUAACGUACGUAUGUGCUAAUUCAGAAAUUCGUGGCAAGUCUCAGUAGUAAUUAAUCUCAAAUUUGCAGUAUCUGGCGAAUCUUAUCAUUGACUGAUCUUUGGCCCUGAUCUUUUCUGCUUCUCAAGCAGAUGAGUGGCAGAAACAAGAAGAGGGUGCCUACAACAUUAAACUUUUGCCAAGCAAAAUUAAGCGAAGAAGUCCAAUCUUAUGGGAAGUUAACUCAAGCUUUUACUAGUGGAUCUUCUGUAAGAUAAAUACUUCCGAAAAAUGGAUGUUCUACAGUGAUUUUGUCGUCUACAUUUGUUGUUUAGACGCUGAGAAUGUCUGUCUUUAGAUAUUGCGAAUGUAAGUGGGGGAGGCAAAGCAAGCUGCAUUACAUUGAACGCUUUAUUUUGAUUUGUUCAAUGCUUCAAUAUAUAUAUAUAUAUAAUAGGUCUAAAAUGUUGCUUAAUAAAGAGCAUUAAAUAGUAUCUUUAUUAUAAUAUUUACCUACUGGUUAUUUGUUAGUGAAACAAGGAGUUGGGGAAAUUUUGUUUUUUGGAAACAAAGAGAUCCCACUAUAAUGAAGAGUAUGCCAAAACUUAAGCUCUUGGGUCGAGUGGUAACAGAGCAAUUUUAGUCUCACUUUUUAUGACCUCUCUUGUUGUGUUAGGAGGGUAUGGCUAAUUUUUGGAUGAAUAUAAUUAUCAUGAGGACAUAUUGCAGAGGUUGAAUAUAAUCGUCAUGAAGACAUAUUGCACCUAAGAUUAAGAAUAUAAUGUAGGAAGCUUUUGCAAAGACUGUCCAUAGCUUAUAUACUGCACCCUGAGUCCUUAAAUAAUCAAAUCUCUAGUUAAACGCUCGUAAAAGUUUGACUUCUAUGUGGCAAGGCUUCAAGUGUAUUCUAUCUCACCCUUUUCUUUGAUGUGGGAUCUCUCUUUGAUUAAACUUAUUGCCAUUUUCAAGGUUUUAUAAUUUCUCCAAUAUAAAACUUUUGUAUUUUGUUGUGAUCAUAUAUCACUUCAUAUUCCAGUUGCGAAGGAGACAGAGUUUGAGUUUUGGGGAUUUCUUUUUGUUAUUCUUGCUGCUGUCAUGUCUGGAUUUCGUUGGUGCAUGACUCAAAUUCUUCUACAGGUAUGGUUUAGUUGUAUUCCUGAUAUACAUGGUUUAUGGAAUUUGUGUAACUUAAACCCAAUUUUUUUUUCCUACAUGACUUUAUUUUUUUGUUUGGAUUUCAAUACGAUGGUCCAUGGCGAAAUAAAAAUGGAUGUAAAGAAAGAAACUUACGGUAGGUACUUAUUCUUUUUCUUUUAUUUCAUUUGAAUUUUAGCCAAUCUCAACUGCUACUAGAUUUUAUCUACUGCCAUAAGUAUCUGCAAGCAUGCUUUGCACAUAUUAGAUUUUCAUGUACCGCUGUAAGCAUCUGCAAGUGUGUGUAACAUGUAUGUUCCUCAGAAUUUACUUUACAUAAUGAUGAUACAUAGAAAUACUGUUUAUUGGACCUUUUCUUAUGAGCUUGAGCUUUUGGAAUUAAUAGUCUUUUAAUAUGGUGUCAUUCUGCUUUUUUCUAAGCUAGCCAGCACUUAUUGAUGAACAAAUUUUGCUCUUGGUAAAAAGCUUGAGUCUCUGGUGAACAAACUUAUACAUUACAUUUCUUUCCUAGAUGCUUUGCCUUAGUUUUUAUACCAUUAUUUCUAAUCAAUCACUAAGAAGUGUUUUCUUUAUUUUUUGUUUUUAGGUCUUAAAAAUCCACUUACCUUGAUGAGCUAUGUGGCACCAAUUAUGGCGCUGGUGACUGCUCUUCUUUCUCUAUUGCUGGAUCCAUGGCAUGAAUUCAAAAGGAAUAAUUAUUUCAAUAACUCAUGGCAUGUCACUCGGAGUUUGUUGCUGAUGCUUUCCGGCGGAGCUUUGGCCUUUUUCAUGGUAAGAAUUGAUGUCGAACAAAAGGAUUGGGGGGAAGAUACAUUUACAUGCUUUUCGUGUUGCAUAUUGAGUAUGCUUGGUCUGAGUUUCAUGGUCUCCAAAAGAAAUUAAUACAUUUACAUGCUUUUCAUGUUGCAUAUUGAGUACACUUGAUCUGAGUUUCAUGGUCCCCAAAAGAACUAACUUGUUUCUCUUGUUACAGGUUUUGACGGAAUUUGUACUUGUCUCGGUAACAAGUGCUGUCACUGUUCAAAUUGCAGGUGUUGUCAAGGAGGCUGUUACCAUAUUGGUAAAACUUUUCUAGGGUAGUUCGGCUUUCUAGAUUAUUUUGGUAAAAUGUUGGCCAUUGUAUGUGCUUUAUUGUUUGUUCUAUCUUACUUUCUAGUCGUUACCUUGUGAAAUCCUUUAGUUACAAUACCGUUCUGUUUGAAACAUUAAAUAUUCAAACUCUCCUAUUAGAUAAGAUAAAUACCCUGUUUGUCAUGAGCUGCAAUUAUUCAUGAUUAUGGCUAUUGUCUUAAAAUAUUUUUUAUGGUCUGAGCCGUCUUUUGUAACUUUUAAUUGUGAUCUGUAAUUACAUUUAGAUUUUUGUUUGAGGAUGUUUAAUGCAUCUAUAGAUGUAAGAAUCACGCUUUGAUUGUUUUACUAGUUUUAUUGUCACAGUGUAGGCUGUGUAGCUCUCUCCUGCAUAGACGGACACUGUGCUUUGAUUGUUUUACUAGUUUUAUUGUCGCAAUGUAGCUGUCUCCUGCAUAGACAGACACCGUAUAGAAUUAAACCCUAGUCUUAUGUUUUCUUAUUGUGUUUUUUCAUUUGGUUAGUUAUUUUAUUAAUAAUUACAAAUAUAAAAAACAUGAAUGGCUACACAGUAUAAGGACUCUCAAAGGAUUCUACUUCAAUAUGUAAAUGUACAGGUUGCAGUGUUUUACUUCCAUGAUGAGUUCAGUUGGCUGAAGGGGUUUGGUCUCUUCACAAUCCUGGUUGGUGUCAGUUUAUUCAAUUGGUACAAGUAAGUCAUUAGUUAUUGUAGUUUUGAACUAUUAUUAUAUGUUUCUUCUCUUUUUCUUUUUUCCUUUUUUUCCUGUGUUAACUGAUUUUGUUGUUGUCUUUUUUUUUUCAACUAUUAUUUGGCUGUUAGAUUAUUGCUUAGUGUGUAGUGGCCAAAUGUGGAUUGUGUGAUGCAGAAUACAUAAGUAUCCAGUUCAUUCCUAAUAAUCUUAAAACUUCCUCUCAUCAAAGAGUCCAAUUAAACGGGACAAAAUGUAAUUGUAGAACUUUUGGACUGGACAAAUUUCCCAUGACUAGCCUUUGCUUUUGGCUGUUUGCAUGAGAAGGAUGUUCCUUUAACUUGCAUGUUUUCCAUGUUAAAUACCCUUCUAUAACAUUAAACACUAAAGCUUGGUUGAUGUCCAACAGAUGUUAUAUGUCAGAUUUGCGAACAUUCUGGUGGUGAGCUUUAAUCUUAUCUGUGAACGGUUAGCCUGCUGCACAAAAUUGGAUCAUUAUACAAAGGUUCCACAUUAUGUGCCCUAGUCAUUGAAGUUUGAUAAAAUUUAAGAAUAUGAUAAUGACAUUUCUCGAAAUUCAAGAAAGCUUCCCAAUGGUCAUUAUGUGUCAUUAUAAAUGGGAUCAACCAACUUAUAAUUGCCUUGUCCUGUUGCUAUCAGUUAGCAAUGAGAAUUGAUAUUUUACCGGCUCAUCCAGCUAAAUUUUGUCAGUCCUUUGCUCCUCACUUACCAAAUUUGACAUGUAUUGAUUGCAUUUGUUUGUGGAUCUCUUGAAUAAUAUUUUGGUUUUUGAUGUUUCUUCCUGACAUAUUAAAAAUAUUGGAAUUUUAAGAGUCUCUCUAGUCUCUGAGAUUAUGGAUCAGAAAAGCAUCUGUAUUCAACAUUAGUUGUGGAACAAUUUACGGGCAGAAUGAUAAAGCUCAACUUUAAGUUACCUAAUCUUAACGCCUGAUUUCUGCUGUGUGCUUCUUGUCAACUUUUUCCUAAUCUGGGUUUUGAUAUUGAUUGUUAAUCUUUUUUAUCCUUUUUCAGAUACCAAAAGCUUCAGGCAGGUCAUGCAAAUGAAGAUGGCAUGCUGGGAUCACGUGAAACAAAUGCUUCUGCAAAAUAUGUUAUUCUAGAGGAGAUUGAUGAUCUAGAUGAGGGCACUUGAAGUUUCUAGUAAUCACAUGAUUUGAAUUUUGAUAAUCUUGUGUAAGCCUCUUGCUGAACCUUCUCCCCUAAAAACAUUGGACAUCUAUGCAGUUUGGGGUGGAACCUUAGGUUGAUGCAAUGGUUUGAUUUGGUAUUUAUCAGUGGUCCAAGUUUGUGUAAUGAUCCAUUGAUUUACAUUUGAUUAUCAGGUUAUCAGCCAAAGAAAUCCGUGGCAUCAGUAGUAACUGGUCUCAAGUUUGCGGUACUUAGCAAAUCUUAUUUUUGGCUGAGCUUCGGCCUUGAUUUUUUCUGCGCCCUCAAGCAGGUCAGUGGCAGAAACGUACAGGGUGUGUACAAAAUCAGGGGUUUAGCAAAUACAUUUUGGCAAGCGGAAUUGAGUGAAGACUGAAGAAGCCCGUUCAUGUGGGAAGUUUACCUCAAGCUUUUUACUAGUGGGUCUUGUCUAAGAUACAUAUUUCCGAAAUGCAUACUCUACGGUCAUUUUGUCGGUCGUUGAUUUGUUGUUUAGUUUAGACAUUGAGAAUGCAAGUGGCGAAGCAAGCUGUAAUCGAUUGAACGCUUUAUUUUGACUUGUUCAAUGCUUCAAAUAUAUUAUUUCACUUUUUGAGGACUUUUAUGGUCAUCCUUUGAUAAAUUGUAUUGUACUCCCUUCAUUGGUUUUAUGCUACCAGGCACCGACUCUGUGGACUUUUACGCUACCACGGGAAAACAGAAAUGAAAAAACAAACUUUUUUGUAGAACAUUAAAAUAUGAAUACAAAAAUGGUAAAGAGAGAGAAAGAUAAAAAAAGGUGUAUUGAACUGGAGCAAAAUUUCCUCAUCUUUCACUCGUUUCAUUUUUCUCUGUCUUUAGCAUCAUCAUUAAUAUAAAUAUCCUUUUUCUUAUUCUUAUGCCUAUCUUUUAAUAAAAUACGUCAAUGGGCCCUGGCCCAGUGGGUGGAUGAGUCAUAAGCGUGUCGGUGGGACCGGUGGGUGGAUGAUACAGAAUAGAGCUAACGAGACUGCAGGGUUGACUUCUGUACCUUAAAUAAGUUUUUUCAGUCAAUCCUUAUUUUAUCAUUGAAAUUCUCUGCAAAGUGAAAAAAAUCCUGCAGUCUCCUUUACAAAUCAUUCCGUAUUGCACUCUUCGUUGUCGGCGAUGAGUGUUAGCCGGAACCGGUGUUCUGUUCUUUUCUUUCUUAUUUUCUCUGCACCAUUUUCUUGCUUGGUUGAUGCCCAAAGUUUUGAUUAUCCGACAGCGAACCUCUCUACUUCAUGGACCAACGGCCCAUCAGCUUCUGACUCGGUAGGUUUCACUGACGGAUCAGCGGUGACAGCCAUCCUUCUUAGGGGAACCCUUGGCCCCACAUAUGCAUGUGGCUUCUUCUGCAACGGCACCUGUGACUCUUAUCUAUUUGCUGUUUUCAUAGUUCAGGCCAAUGAUGCUUCCUUAAUCGAAUAUGACAAUAUCGAUUUUCCACAGGUUGUCUGGUCUGCUAAUCGUAACAAUCCUGUUCGAAUAAACGCAACCUUAGAACUCACUUCAGAUGGGAACUUGGUCUUGCAAGAUGCUGACGGAGCUAUUGCUUGGUCGACGAAUACCAGUGGUAAAUCUGUUGUGGGCUUAAACUUGACAGACAUGGGCAACCUCGUACUUUUUGACAAGAAUAAUGGGGCCGUUUGGCAAUCUUUCGAUCAUCCAACGGACUCGCUGGUUCCUGGCCAAAAAUUGUUGGAAGGGAAGAAACUUACAGCUAGUGUUUCAACCACGAAUUGGACGGAUGGAGGAUUGUUUUCACUUUCUGUCACUAACGAAGGAUUAUUUGCUUUCAUAGAGUCUAAUAAUACUUCAAUACGGUAUUAUGAAUUAGUCAAAGCCACAAAAACAAGUAAGGAACCAAGCCAUGCUAGAUAUCUGAAUGGAAGCUUAGCUUUCUUCAUAAAUUCCUCCGAACCAAGGGAACCAGAUGGGGCAGUUCCUGUUCCUCCAGCAUCGUCAUCCCCGGGACAGUACAUGAGAUUGUGGCCUGAUGGACAUUUAAGAGUUUACGAGUGGCAAGCAUCGAUAGGGUGGACAGAAGUGGCCGAUCUAUUGACAGGUUAUCUUGGGGAAUGCGGUUAUCCUCUGGUUUGCGGCAAGUAUGGCAUCUGCUCUCAGGGGCAAUGCAGUUGUCCUGCAACCUAUUUCAAGGUAUUAAAUGAUAGAAAGCCUGCCCUUGGGUGCUCCCCGAUUACUCCCCUAUCAUGCGAAGCUUCGCAAGAUCAUAGUUUUGUUGAACUCAAUGAUGUCGCUUACUUCACGUUUAGCUCACCUAGCUCAGACCUUACGAAUACAGAUCCAGAGACAUGCAAACAAGCCUGUUUAAAGAAUUGCUCGUGCAAAGCUGCUCUUUUUCUGUAUGGUUUGAACCCUUCUCGUGGAGAUUGCUACUUACCAUCUGAACUCUUUUCAAUGAUGAAUAAUGAGAAGGAAAAGACUCAUUAUAACUCAACUGUUUACAUUAAGGUUCAAAACUUUUCAAUGCCAGGUGCAAGUCCAGGAGGAAAGGAGACGAGCCACAGAAAAAGAAUAAUGGGGUUCAUCCUUGGAUCUUUCUUUGGUUUAUUAGUUCUAAUUGGUAUCUUGAUCUUUUUCUUUGGGAAGAAAAAGGGGGCUGAUGAAAUUGAGGAAGAUUGUUUAGAUCAAGUGCCAGGACUACCCAAAAGAUUCUCAUUUGAAGAGUUGAAAGUCAUGACAGACAAUUUCAGAAAGAUACUGGGUAAGGGGGGUUUUGGCUCAGUCUUUGAGGGGACACAAACUGAUGGCACAAAAGUUGCAGUGAAACGUCUCGAAGGAAUUGGUGAAAUCAAUAAAUCUUUCUUAGCAGAGGUGAAGACAAUUGGAAGCAUUCACCAUCUGAACUUGUUGAGGUUGAUAGGGUUUUGUGCUGAGAAAUCUCAAAACCUUCUUGUUUAUGAAUACAUGCCGAAUGGAUCUCUAGAUAGGUGGCUUUUCCAGAGAUCAGAUGAGUUUAUGCUUGACUGGCAGCAAAGAAAGAAGAUCAUCCUUGAUAUUGCCAAGGGACUAACCUAUCUCCAUGAAGAUUGCAGGCAGAAGAUACUCCACUUGGAUAUCAAGCCCCAAAAUAUUCUGCUAGAUGACAACUUUAAUGCCAAAGUUGCUGAUUUUGGUUUGUCGAAAUUGAUUGACCGGGACCAGAGCCAAGUUGUGACAACCA